AGAGAGAGACAUGCGCGCAUAUCAAUAAGCGGAGGAAAAGAAACUAACAAGGAUUCCCCUAGUGACGGCGAGUGAAGCGGGAAGAGCUCAAAUUUGAAAUCUUAAAGGGUUUCCCUUUACGAAUUGUAGUUUAAAGAAGUGUUUUCUGUUGAGGUUUUGGUAAAAGUUCUUUGGAAUAGGACAUCAUAGAGGGUGAGAAUCCCGUAUUUGACCUUUACUUUCAACUUUGUGAUACACUUUCAAAGAGUCGGAUUGUUUGGGAAUGCAGUCCAAAAUGGGUGGUAAAUUUCAUCUAAAGCUAAAUAUUGGCGAGAGACCGAUAGCGAACAAGUACCGUGAGGGAAAGAUGAAAAGAACUUUGAAAAGAGAGUUAAACAGUACGUGAAAUUGUCAAAAGGGAAGCGUUUGACACCAGUGUUGUUUUUCUGAAAAUCAAUUAAAGAACUGUUUAUGCUAAGCUGUUUAGACUUUAUCAGCUAACUGUUUAGUUUUGAGCUUUUCUUUAAUGCACUUUUCAGUUAACAAGUCAACAUCAAUUUCUUUUGCUGUAAAAAAGCUUAAGGAAGGUGGCUUGAGAUUCGUCUUAAGUGUUUAUAGCCUCUUGCCUAUGCAGUCGGAGAGAUUGAGGUCUGCAGCGUAGAUCCUUCGGGGCUAAAUGCAUUUGUGCUAAGUUAUAGCAUUUUAUAGACAACUUGUUGACUAUGAUUUGUCUUGUAGCUUACUCGCUUAUGUUAUUUUACCUACGCUUAGGAUGUUGACGCAUAAGAUAUACGC
rnacentral:rRNA from 1 species